rnacentral:ncRNA from 2 species
GAAUACGGUAAAUAAACAGGUGCCUCCGGUCAAGGCCGGGGGAGAAUAGGGAAUCAGGUGAAAAUCCUGAACGGGCCCGCCACUGUGAUCAGGGAGUGGAACCAGGUUUAUAUCCACCCAUAAAGGGGAAGGAUUUAGUUCCAUGAUGAUCUGAGAGUCAGGAGACCUGCCUGUUUAUUUUACCUGCA